GUAGGGUGCGAGCGUUGUCCGGAAUUACUGGGCGUAAAGAGUUCGUAGGCGGUUUGUCGCGUCGUGUGUGAAAUCCCGCAGCUCAACUGCGGGCUUGCAGGCGAUACGGGCAAACUUGAGUACUGCAGGGGAGACUGGAAUUCCUGGUGUAGCGGUGAAAUGCGCAGAUAUCAGGAGGAACACCGGUGGCGAAGGCGGGUCUCUGGGCAGUAACUGACGCUGAGGAACGAAAGCGUGGGUAGCGAACAGGAUUAGAUACCCUGGUAGUCCACGCCGUAAACGGUGGGCGCUAGGUGUGGGUUUCCUUCCACGGGAUCCGUGCCGUAGCUAACGCAUUAAGCGCCCCGCCUGGGGAGUACGGCCGCAAGGCUA
rnacentral:rRNA from 1 species